rnacentral:rRNA from 1 species
GAUGAACGCUGGCGGCGUGCUUAACACAUGCAAGUCGAACGAGAAAUGGAGACGGAAACCUUCGGGCGGAAGGCUUCAUUUCGAGUGGCGGACGGGUGAGUAACGCGUGGGUAACCUGCCUCAUACAGGGGGAUAACAGUUGGAAACGACUGUUAGUACCGCAUAAGACCACAGCACCGCAUGGUGCGGGGGUAAAAACUCCGGUGGUAUGAGAUGGACCCGCGUUCGAUUAGCCAGUUGGCGGGGUAACGGCCCACCAAAGCGACGAUCGAUAGCCGAUCUGAGAGGAUGACCGGCCACAUUGGGACUGAGACACGGCCCAAACUCCUACGGGAGGCAGCAGUGGGGAAUAUUGCACAAUGGGGGAAACCCUGAUGCAGCGACGCCGCGUGAGUGAAGAAGUACUUCGGUAUGUAAAGCUCUAUCAGCAGGGAAGAAAAUGACGGUACCUGAGUAAGAAGCCCCGGCUAACUACGUG